rnacentral:rRNA from 1 species
GACUCUCGGCAACGGAUAUCUCAUCUCUCACAUCGAUGAAGAACGUAGCGAAAUGCGAUACUUGGUGUGAAUUGCAGAAUCCCGUGAACCAUCGAGUCUUUGAACGCAAGUUGCGCCCGAAGCCAUUAGGCCGAGGGCACGUCUGCCUGGGCGUCA